CUCAGAUUGAACGCUGGCGGCAUGCUUUACACAUGCAAGUCGAGCGGCAGCGCGGGGGGCAACCCUGGCGGCGAGCGGCGAACGGGUGAGUAAUGCAUCGGAACGUAUCCCGGAGUGGGGGGAUAACCUAUCGAAAGGUGGGCUAAUACCGCAUGAGCUCUGAGGAGGAAAGCGGGGGACCGAAAGGCCUCGCGCUGUGGGAGCGGCCGAUGUCCGAUUAGCUAGUUGGUGGGGUAAAGGCCUACCAAGGCGACGAUCGGUAGCUGGUCUGAGAGGAUGAUCAGCCACACUGGGACUGAGACACGGCCCAGACUCCUACGGGAGGCAGCAGUGGGGAAUUUUGGACAAUGGGGGAAACCCUGAUCCAGCCAUGCCGCGUGAAUGAAGAAGGCCUUCGGGUUGUAAAGCUCUUUCGGACGGAACGAAAUUGCUUGGACUAAUACUCUGAGUAGAUGACGGUACCGUAAGAAGAAGCACCGGCUAACUACGUG
rnacentral:rRNA from 1 species